rnacentral:sRNA from 1 species
UUUUUUUUUGCAGAAUCCUUCUAUAAAAUCUAGUCCCGAGUCUAUAGCCGACAAAUCAGUUUACCAUCAUGAUGUGAAAAUCCAAAAAACAAGGGUAGAAAUCAAAUCUUUUACCUUUUAGAAACUUGUCUUUUUCUUGAAAAUGUUCAUUAUGGUUAUUGUCUUCUCUUUGAGUGCAGGAAGAAUUCUCCAAACCUUGUGCUUAUGGUUACCUAAACCCUAAUUACAUUCUAGUAGAAAGUGAAAUUGAUCAAUGGAGAGAGAGAAAAGAGAUAAGGGUGGAAAAAGGUGUCCUUUCAUCUUAUUCCUGAGUAGAAAUGUUUUUAGCUGUUAAGGGCUCAAGGCAAUGGCACUAUGGAACUUCGCCGUUACACUUAGGUCGGAGUACUCUCAAAUUUUGGUAUAUCUGCUAUAUGAUCCGACUCUAAUCCUUAAGAGUAUU